rnacentral:rRNA from 1 species
AGAGUUUGAUCCUGGCUCAGGAUGAACGCUGGCGGCGUGCUUAACACAUGCAAGUCGAACGAAGCACUCUAUUUGAUUUUCUUCGGAAAUGAAGAUUUUGUGACUGAGUGGCGGACGGGUGAGUAACGCGUGGGUAACCUGCCUCAUACAGGGGGAUAACAGUUGGAAACGACUGCUAAUACCGCAUAAGCGCACAGGAUUGCAUGAUCCGGUGUGAAAAACUCCGGUGGUAUGAGAUGGACCCGCGUCUGAUUAGCCAGUUGGCAGGGUAACGGCCUACCAAAGCGACGAUCAGUAGCCGACCUGAGAGGGUGACCGGCCACAUUGGGACUGAGACACGGCCCAAACUCCUACGGGAGGCAGCAGUGGGGAAUAUUGCACAAUGGGGGAAACCCUGAUGCAGCGACGCCGCGUGAGCGAAGAAGUAUUUCGGUAUGUAAAGCUCUAUCAGCAGGGAAGAAGAAUGACGGUACCUGACUAAGAAGCACCGGCUAAAUACGUGCCAGCAGCCGCGGUAAUACGUAUGGUGCAAGCGUUAUCCGGAUUUACUGGGUGUAAAGGGAGCGCAGGCGGUGCGGCAAGUCUGAUGUGAAAGCCCGGGGCUCAACCCCGGUACUGCAUUGGAAACUGUCGUACUAGAGUGUCGGAGGGGUAAGCGGAAUUCCUAGUGUAGCGGUGAAAUGCGUAGAUAUUAGGAGGAACACCAGUGGCGAAGGCGGCUUACUGGACGGUAACUGACGUUGAGGCUCGAAAGCGUGGGGAGCAAACAGGAUUAGAUACCCUGGUAGUCCACGCGGUAAACGAUG